rnacentral:rRNA from 1 species
UACAGAGGUGGCAAGCGUUGUUCGGAAUUACUGGGCGUAAAGGGCGCGUAGGCGGCCUUGUCAGUCAGACGUGAAAUCCCCAGGCUUAACCUGGGAACUGCGUCUGAUACUACAAGGCUUGAGUGCGGGAGAGGGAUGUGGAAUUCCAGGUGUAGCGGUGAAAUGCGUAGAUAUCAGGAGGAAUACCGGUGGCGAAGGCGGCCUUCUGGACGGUGACUGACGCUGAGACGCGAAAGCGUGGGGAGCAAACAGG